CAGUCGCCGCGGUAAUACAGAGGGUGCGAGCGUUAAUCGGAUUUACUGGGCGUAAAGCGUGCGUAGGCGGCUUUUUAAGUCGGAUGUGAAAUCCCUGAGCUUAACUUAGGAAUUGCAUUCGAUACUGGGAAGCUAGAGUAUGGGAGAGGAUGGUAGAAUUCCAGGUGUAGCGGUGAAAUGCGUAGAGAUCUGGAGGAAUACCGAUGGCGAAGGCAGCCAUCUGGCCUAAUACUGACGCUGAGGUACGAAAGCAUGGGGAGCAAACAGGAUUAGAUACCCCAGUAGUCCCUGUCCUUAUACA
rnacentral:rRNA from 1 species